AUGUGGUCCGUGGAUUGUUCUUUCAGCCAGGUGCACUGACUGAGGGCAAGUACUAGUUGCUGUGGAUGCCUCCAGAGCUCAGUCUCCCCCAGUGAUUCUUCAGCAGCCAGUUGUCCAACCCAGGAAGAAGGAAUCCUCUAAAAGAAGUUACUGCACUGACUGAGACAACAGCUCGUUCACAGACAGGCUACACUCUGUAUCACAAGCUUCACUAAGAGGCAUAUCAGUGUCCACCUGUUAGAAAAGUUGUCAUAGUAAAAUGGCCUACCCCACUAGAACUCUCUUCAGGAUUUGUAAUUUCUGAUAACACCAGUAAUUUUGAGAGCAUUACAACUGGGUGAAUUUGAACAUGUCCCCUGUUUUGUGUACACAAACAACUUGGUGAUAUAUAAUUUAUUUUAAAAAAUGACAGGGGUGUGCAGGAGAUGCUGUCUGUGGCCCCAAAAUUUUCAAGACAUUUUCGGCAUUCAGAAACAUCAUGUAGGUGAUUACAGUGGCUGCAGUUCAAUUUGCCAUGCCACCAACUGAAGCAAGAGGUAGUAACAAGUUGGAAUUCCACCCUUUAAAUGCUUCAGUGAAUGGAGGAACAGCAACAAGCCAUCCAAGUGUACACAACAAGCCAUGACAUACAGAGAGGAGGGAGAACGUACCUUAGUCCAAUACAGUGGAGAAUUCUUUCUGUUUUAUACAAGGUACUGAAACCAUUUCAAGUAGUAACCUGUGACGUCAGUUCACAGAAUCAUCUGACAGAUGAGUCAGAUGAUUACCUUAAUUAGACUAAUGGAAAUGCAGCUCAAGAAACUGAAGGAGGAGAUGAAACAAAGCGAUUCCACUAUGUAUGUUGGACUUGUAGAUCAAGUUCUUUAUUCGCUUCACCAGGGCCAAAGUGUUGUCAGGGUUUUCAAUAUAGAUUUAAAACUUGCGAGCAGGACCUUUCUAAUCUCUAUGGCUGUCUUUUAUUACACAGUUUUGUUUUAUCACUGUUUCCAAUUGUAAAGCACAACAGAAUUUGUCGUGCUAUAUAAGAAACUUAAAAUAAAUAAUAA